GCGGGUAUAGCUCCAUUGGUAGAGCGCAUGCUUAGUAUGCACAGGGUCCUGAGUUCAAUCCUCAGUACCUGCA
rnacentral:tRNA from 1 species